CCUACGGGUGGCAGCAGUGAGGACUAUUGGUCAAUGGGCGGAAGCCUGAACCAGCCAAGUCGCGUGAGGGAAUAAGGCCCUACGGGUCGUAAACCUCUUUUGCCGGAGAGCAAGGGCGGGGACGUGUCCCGGCCCGGAGAGUACCCGGAGAAAAAGCAUCGGCUAACUCCGUGCCAGCAGCCGCGGUAAUACGGGGGAUGCGAGCGUUAUACGGAUUUAUUUGGUUUAAAGGGUGCGUAGGCGGGCUUUUAAGUCAGCGGUAAAAAUUCGGGGCUGCACCCCGUCCGGCCGUUGAAACUGGGGGCCUUGAGGGGGCGAGAAGAAGGCGGAAUGCGUGGUGUAGCGGUGAAAUGCAUAGAUAUCACGCAGAACCCCGAUUGCGAAGGCAGCCUUACGGCGCCCUACUGACGCUGAGGUACGAAAGUGCGGGGAGCGAACAGGAUUAGAUACCCGUGUAGUC
rnacentral:rRNA from 1 species